rnacentral:piRNA from 1 species
UGAAACAUUCCAUGGGGGUUUGGGCCAUA